rnacentral:rRNA from 1 species
UACGUAGGGUGCAAGCGUUGUCCGGAAUUAUUGGGCGUAAAGAGCUCGUAGGCGGUCUGUCGCGUCGGCUGUGAAAUCCCGAGGCUCAACCUCGGGUCUGCAGUCGAUACGGGCAAACUGGAGUGUUGCAGGGGAGACUGGAAUUCCUGGUGUAGCGGUGAAAUGCGCAGAUAUCAGGAGGAACACCGGUGGCGAAAGCAGCUCUCUGGGACGGUACUGACGCUGAGACGCGAAAGCGUGGGGAGCGAACAGG